rnacentral:rRNA from 1 species
AGCAGUAGCCGCGGUAAAACGUAGGUCCCGAGCGUUGUCCGGAUUUAUUGGGCGUAAAGCGAGCGCAGGCGGUUUGAUAAGUCUGAAGUUAAAGGCUGUGGCUCAACCAUAGUUCGCUUUGGAAACUGUCAAACUUGAGUGCAGAAGGGGAGAGUGGAAUUCCAUGUGUAGCGGUGAAAUGCGUAGAUAUAUGGAGGAACACCGGUGGCGAAAGCGGCUCUCUGGUCUGUAACUGACGCUGAGGCUCGAAAGCGUGGGGAGCGAACAGGAUUAGAUACCCCCGUAGUCCCUGUCUCUUAUACA